GGCGAACGCUGGCGGCACGCCUAAUACAUGCAAGUCGAGCGAUCGGCUCCGGGAAGCUUGCUUCCUGGAGUACGGAGCGGCGCACGGGUGAGUAACACGUGGGUAACGUGCCUCGAAGACUGGGACAACCCCGGGAAACUGGGGCUAAUACCGGAUACCCUCCCCGGGUCGCAUGGCCUGGGAAGGAAAUGGAUUCCGCUUCGAGAGCGACCCGCGGCCUAUCAGCUUGUUGGUGGGGUAACGGCCUACCAAGGCUCUGACGGGUAGCCGGCCUGAG
rnacentral:rRNA from 1 species